rnacentral:miRNA from 1 species
UUGAAUUGUUCGAUCAAGAUCGGG